AGGAUGAACGCUGGCGGCGUGCUUAACACAUGCAAGUCGAACGGUGAAGGAGAGCUUGCUCUCCGGAUCAGUGGCGAACGGGUGAGUAACACGUGAGCAAUCUGCCCCUGACUCUGGGAUAAGCGUUGGAAACGACGUCUAAUACCGGAUACGAGCUGCGAAGGCAUCUUCAGCAGCUGGAAAGAACUUCGGUCAGGGAUGAGCUCGCGGCCUAUCAGCUAGUUGGUGAGGUAAUGGCUCACCAAGGCGUCGACGGGUAGCCGGCCUGGAGAGGGUGACCGGCCACACUGGGACUGAGACACGGCCAGACUCCUACGGGAGGCAGCAGUGGGGAAUAUUGGCACAAGUGGCGCAAGCCUGAUGCGAGCAACGGCCGCGUAGAGGACGACGGCCGUUCGGUUCGUAACCGUUCUUUAGUCGAGGAAGGAAGACGAAGUAGACGGUAC
rnacentral:rRNA from 1 species